rnacentral:tRNA from 1 species
GCCCUCGUAGCUCAGGGGAUAGAGCACCGGCCUCCGGAGCCGGGUGCGUAGGUUCGAAUCCUACCGGGGGCA